UACGUAGGUGGCAAGCGUUGUCCGGAUUUACUGGGCGUAAAGAGCGCGCAGGCGGUCGUACAAGUCGCGUGUGAAAGCCCCCGGCUCAACUGGGGAGGGUCACGCGAUACUGUUCGACUCGAAGGCAGGAGAGGGAAGCAGAAUUCCCGGUGUAGUGGUGAAAUGCGUAGAUAUCGGGAGGAAUACCAGUGGCGAAGGCGGCUUCCUGGCCUGUUCUUGACGCUGAGGCGCGAAAGCUAGGGUAG
rnacentral:rRNA from 1 species